CCCCUUUAAAUCCGAAAUCAGGCAGACUAUAUGUCGGGUGUCCUUCGGGACUAUGGGCAUAAACGCGCAUGUAAUAAACGGAUCGGACCCGGGGGCGGUACCCGGCGGCUCCACCAAAAUCCUUCGUUUGAGGAUCAUGGGGCCGAAACAGGAUCGACGAACGCGUAAAGAUGUAGCUUUGUCCCGGUGAGGUACCACCGUUAUCGGUCCGAAAAGUACAAUUGCAAACGACAAUCGUGCUCCGGUCGCAAUGGCUGCGUAAGCAGUCGGAGUAACCGAAACUUAAGCCCUUGCGCCUAGCAGCGUAAGGCGGGGUUCGCAGGUACCUGGCAACAGAAACCUGCACU
rnacentral:tmRNA from 1 species